rnacentral:sRNA from 1 species
AGAGAAUGAGCAAGAGGCCAGGGCAGAGGCUGCAUUUAGGAGUGUAAGCUGGAGCAACAGGCGUGCCUGAGCAGCAAGCAGCUGGCGGUGCGAUGCGAGGGCCCCUGCCCCUGCCCCACGGAGCAGGCUGCCACCUCCACCGCUGAUGGCAAACCAGAGACUUGCACUGGUCAGGACCUGGCUGACCUGGGAGAUCGGCUGCGGGACUGGUUCCAGCUCCUUCAUGAGAACUCCAAGCAGAAUGGCUCAGCCAGCAGUGUAGCCAGCCCGGCCAGCGGGCUGGACAAGAGCCUGGGGGCCAGCUGCAAGGACUCCAUUGGCUGGAUGUUCUCCAAGCUGGACACCAGUGCUGACCUCUUCCUGGACCAGAUGGAGCUGGCCGCCAUCAACCUGGACAAGUAUGAGGUCUGCAUCCGUCCCUUCUUCAACUCCUGUGACACCUACAAGGAUGGCCGGGUCUCUACUGCUGAGUGGUGCUUCUGCUUCUGGAGGGAGAAGCCCCCCUGCCUGGCAGAGCUGGAGCGCGUCCAGAUCCAGGAGGCCGCCAAGAAGAAGCCAGGCAUCUUCAUCCCGAGCUGCGACGAGGAUGGCUACUACCGGAAGAUGCAGUGUGACCAGAGCAGCGGUGACUGCUGGUGUGUGGACCAGCUGGGCCUGGAGCUGACUGGCACACGCACGCAUGGGAGCCCCGACUGCGAUGACAUCGUGGGCUUCUCAGGAGACUUUGGAAGCGGUGUCGGCUGGGAGGACGAGGAGGAGAAGGAGACGGAGGAAGCAGGCGAGGAAGCCGAGGAGGAG